UAGGGAAUCUUCGGCAAUGGACGAAAGUCUGACCGAGCAACGCCGCGUGAGUGAAGAAGGUUUUCGGAUCGUAAAACUCUGUUGUUAGAGAAGAACAAGGGUGAGAGUAGAAUGUUCACCCCUUGACGGUAUCUAACCAGAAAGCCACGGCUAACUACGUGCCAGCAGCCGCGGUAAUACGUAGGUGGCAAGCGUUGUCCGGAUUUAUUGGGCGUAAAGCGAGCGCAGGCGGUUUCUUAAGUCUGAUGUGAAAGCCCCCGGCUCAACCGGGGAGGGUCAUUGGAAACUGGGAAACUUGAGUGCAGAAGAGGAGAGUGGAAUUCCAUGUGUAGCGGUGAAAUGCGUAGAUAUAUGGAGGAACACCAGUGGCGAAGGCGGCUCUCUGGUCUGUAACUGACGCUGAGGCUCGAAAGCGUGGGGAGCAAACA
rnacentral:rRNA from 1 species